GUUUCUCUAUAUGAAACUUGUCUCUUCGUUUUUAUGUAGUACUUUCAUCUUGGAGAAAUUUUCAUUAAAUCACCUAAUAGGAAAUUGACUUGACAAAAGACGCCUUUGUAUGGACGAUACAGAAUCGCCCCGGAUCAGUGCAUCGUGGCACCCCUCAUCUUAAUGGGACGUUUGUGACAUUCCGUUAAACUAUGCACAUGAGAGCGUUUUCGUACUUACGGAUGUUCUUCCCCAAAAUAAACUCACCUCUACUUUCCCUUCUUCAUUUUUACAUCUCGAGAUCUAUACAUAUAUUUACAUAUAUACAAUUAUACAUAGAUAAGAUCUAUAUAAACAUAUAUCCAGAGAUCUAUAUGUGGUGUCAAAUGAUUUUACAAAAUACUAAAAUUGUUUUCUCAACAUGAUACUUACAUAUCCAUAUCUUCAAAUAAUUGCCACAACAAAAUCGUUCUUUCACACACUUAAUUCGUGUCCUUACAAUCGAAAUCUACUAUUCAAAAUCCGAUUUUUAACUCGGCGAACACUUACCACCACUAUCGGUGACCAACACCUACCACCAUAACAACUUCGGACCAACUUUCGGGAUCUCUCACAACAACUAAACUCGUCGCCCGGUUCUUAAACGGAAUCAACUCCGCCAUCCGCCAUUCGACCAUCUAUAUAGAUACACACGCACACAGACAUGUGUAUAUAUAUAUAUUCAUUCGGUCGGGAUUUCUAGCGAGGUAAGCUGAGGUGGAGCGGAGAGGUGAUGGCCGGUGGGGCUGGUCGGAAGUGAUGACCGGAGAUGAAAUUAGGUGAGAAAAAAAACAGUUAAGAGAGAUCCAUACAUAUAGUACUCUAUUGUUUAGAUCUAGUUUUGAUUUGAUUUUAUGUGGUUGUGAUGAUUAGGUUAAAUUUAUAUUAUUGUAAAGUUUGUUGA